rnacentral:lncRNA from 1 species
CUUUACCUUAUUUUGCUAAUAUGGAAAAUUUCAGUUAUAUUUCAUAUUUUUAUUUUAUAUUUCAAGAAGAAAAUUAUCUGCAAAAUGAUACUUAAAAUAGAUAGAUAAAACAUAGAUUAACACACAGAUGGAUCACGUCAGAUCCAUCUUGAAAAACUGAACAUGUGAGAUGGCAAACCCUGGUCCUCCAAGGUAAUACACAAAUGCUUUACCACAUAGCCAUUCAGGUGAGUUUUAGGCUUAACACUAUUAUGCACUUAAUAAAUAAGUGUAAAUAUGCUUUUAGGCUUUUAUAUGCAUUAAUAAAUAAAAAUCACUGUGAUCUGCUCUACAGCAGUAGUCUGAAACAUAAUCACCAUAAUAAAAGGUAUGCCUGCAUGUAUAUAAAAUGUAAUUUAUAUAAAAAUUGUAUCUCAUUUAAAAUAAUAUUUUUAAAUGCCUAAAAUUUGAUAUUUCAGUAUAAGAAGAGUUUUAGAUAUGAAGUUUCUUUUUAAAUAUAUACAUAC